rnacentral:RNase_P_RNA from 1 species
GAGGAAAGUCCGGGCUCCAUAGGGCAGGGUGCCAGGUAACGCCUGGGGGGGAAACCCACGACCAGUGCAACAGAGAGCAAACCGCCGAUGGCCCGCGCAAGCGGGAUCAGGUAAGGGUGAAAGGGUGCGGUAAGAGCGCACCGCGCGGCUGGUAACAGUCCGUGGCACGGUAAACUCCACCCGGAGCAAGGCCAAAUAGGGGUUCAUAAGGUACGGCCCGUACUGAACCCGGGUAGGCUGCUUGAGCCAGUGAGCGAUUGCUGGCCUAGAUGAAUGACUGUCCACGACAGAAAGCGGCUUA